rnacentral:rRNA from 1 species
GUGGGGAAUCUUAGACAAUGGGCGCAAGCCUGAUCUAGCCAUGCCGCGUGAGCGAUGAAGGCCUUAGGGUUGUAAAGCUCUUUCAGCUGGGAAGAUAAUGACGGUACCAGCAGAAGAAGCCCCGGCUAACUCCGUGCCAGCAGCCGCGGUAAUACGGAGGGGGCUAGCGUUGUUCGGAAUUACUGGGCGUAAAGCGCACGUAGGCGGAUCAGAAAGUCAGAGGUGAAAUCCCAGGGCUCAACCUUGGAACUGCCUUUGAAACUCCUGAUCUUGAGGUCGAGAGAGGUGAGUGGAAUUCCGAGUGUAGAGGUGAAAUUCGUAGAUAUUCGGAGGAACACCAGUGGCGAAGGCGGCUCACUGGCUCGAUACUGACGCUGAGGUGCGAAAGCUAGGGCAGCGAACGGGAUUAGAUACCCCUGUAGUCC